rnacentral:rRNA from 1 species
UACGGAGGGUGCAAGCGUUAUCCGGAUUCACUGGGUUUAAAGGGUGCGUAGGCGGGUAUAUAAGUCAGUGGUGAAAGCUCCGGGCUUAACUUGGAAACUGCCAUUGAUACUGUAUAUCUUGAAUGUCGUUGAGGUUAGCGGAAUGUUGCAUGUAGCGGUGAAAUGCUUAGAUAUGUUACAGAACACCAAUUGUGAAGACAGCUAACUAAGCGAUGAUUGACGCUGAGGCACGAAAGCGUGGGGAG